AGCGAACGCUGGCGGCGUGCUUAACACAUGCAAGUCGAGUGCGUAGCCCUUUGUAGCAAUACAGAGGGUGGGCGCACGGCGCACGGGUGAGUAACACGUGGGUAACCUGCCCUUCGGUGGGGAAGUAACCCCGCGAAAGACGGGGCGUAAUUCCGCAUAACAUUCCGGGGACACAUGUUCUCGGACUCAAAGGAGUGAUUCGCCGGAGGAGGGCCCGCGCCCGAUUAGCUUGUUGGUAGGGUAACGGCCACCAAGGCUUUGAUCGGUAGCCGGUCUGAGAGGAUGGCCGGCCACACUGGAACUGAGACACGGUCCAGACUCCUACGGGAGGCAGCAGUGGGGGAAUCUUGCGCAAUGGGCGAAAGCCUGACGCAGCGACGCCGCGU
rnacentral:rRNA from 1 species